rnacentral:misc_RNA from 1 species
GAUGAAGAACGUAGCGAAAUGCGAUAAGUAAUGUGAAUUGCAGAAUUCAGUGAAUCAUCGAAUCUUUGAACGCACAUUGCGCCUGCCGGCACUCCGGCAGGCAUGCCUGUUCGAGCGUCAUUUCAACCCUCAAGCACUGCUUGGCGUUGGGGAUCCGCUGACGUCAACACUUUGACCCCGACGCGGCCCCCGAAAAACAGUGGCAGUCCCGCACGAGGCCCUGAGCGCAGUAGCACAACUCUCGCUUUCGGGCACGGGCGGGCGCCGGCCUCACACGCCUAAAUAGACUUGACCUCGGAUCAGGUAGGAACACCCGCUGAACUUAAGCAUAUCAAUAAGCGGAGGA